rnacentral:rRNA from 1 species
CCUACGGGAGGCAGCAGUGAGGAAUAUUGGUCAAUGGACGAGAGUCUGAACCAGCCAAGUAGCGUGAAGGAUGACUGCCCUAUGGGUUGUAAACUUCUUUUAUAAAGGAAUAAAACGAGGCACGUGUGCCUUUUUGCAUGUACUUUAUGAAUAAGGAUCGGUUAACUCCGUGCCAGCAGCCGCGGUAAUACGGAGGAUCCGAGCGUUAUCCGGAUUUAUUGGGUUUAAAGGGAGCGUAGAUGGGUUGUUAAGUCAGUUGUGAAAGUUUGCGGCUCAACCGUAAAAUUGCAAUUGAUACUGGCAGUCGUGAGUACAGUUGAGGUAGGCGGAAUUCGUGGUGUAGCGGUGAAAUGCUUAGAUAUCACGAAGAACCCCGAUUGCGAAGGCAGCUUACUAAACUGUGACUGACAUUGAUGCUCGAAAGUGUGGGUAUCAAACAGGAUUAGAUACCCCUGUAGUC